CAAGCAUUUAUUAAGGGCUAUUAUGUGUCAGGCACCGGAGAUACAAAGGCAUGAGUGAGUGUCCUGGGCUUCAAGAUUACUUUGUGUCUGGGGAGACAGCACGUACAUAUGAAUCACACAUAAAAUAUAAAUACUAGGUAGUCUUUGAGGGUGGGAAAGACCUCACAUUGAAGGUGGUACUUAAGCAGUUUUUAAACAAUAUUCUGAGACCAAGGGAAGGGAGAAUGCAUAUUGGGUAUGGGGAUAGAAAGUGUAAAGGCACAAAGAAGUGUAAGAGAUAGUCCUCUGGAUUAAUUUGGGAGUGCAAGGAGAGAAACAAAAGGUUACAAAGUGGUCUAGGAAUUUGAAAAAUCACACAAAGGGUUUAUAUUUGAUUUAAAGGCACUGGAGUUUAAGAAAAGACACGGCGACUUUAGGAAUACCUUUAUCGGCUGUGAGGAUGGAUCAGAGGGGCCAGGUAAUUGGUGCCAAAACCAGGGCAGUGAUUGAGAGGAGAAAAGGGGAGGAUUCAGAGAUGAAGAGGAAAACACAACUGGGGAUGCAGCUGGUGAAGUACAGUGCAUGGGAUAUGGCUGAUGACCUAGGAGAGGAGAGGGAGGAGUAAUUAGGCAAGAAGGGAACCGGAGAGAAUGAUGUUCUGAGGUCAAGAGACGGCGGUCAGCCUCCAGCACUUAGGUCUGGAUGCAUCAGAGCUGUGCAAAGAUGUCUUAAAUAAAAGAUCUUUAGUAACUCUUAAGGAAUAGUUGUGAUACCCUAAUGGGACCAAAAGCAAGAAUACAGGACUGCAGUAGAGGAAAGAAACAUGGAUAACCUGCAUCUGCCUCUGAAAGGAAGGAGAAAUACUGGACAAGGACUAGAAGAAAAGUAGGGUGGUGAUGAGUGUUGUCUAAGCCAAGCAAGCCAACCAAUGUGUCAAAAGCUGAGGAUUCAAGCACAAGGAAUAAAGGGAUCUUUAUAUUAGACAUAUUCUAAUGGGGGACAAAGGCACUGACAUAAAAAGAUACAGCUUAGUUAAUACAAAAGAUACAAAAUUGUUAAACCCAGAAUUUGGGAAAGAAGGCGCUAGCAGCUGGGGACUCAGUAUUCGUUUAGUCAACAAUACUUGAUUGGUGUUUCAGAACAUAAGGCCAUCUAAGAGGCAGGCAGGGAUUCAGAGUUAGGGAAGGGUUGCAUCUCACCCACAAAAGAAAUGGAGGAACUGGGAGAAGACCAAUUUGAGUGAUCACUGAGCAAGGGAAGUCAAGUCUAAUGAAUCUAGAAAAUUAGGUUUAGGAUCAGGAUGUGUAGGGCUUUACAAAUGAGGGAAAGGCUGUAACUGCGUGUGGAUGGGAAGGGUUAAAUUAGAAACAGCAAGAUUACAACAUGAGAUUGAGGAAUCUAGGGAAAUGCUGAGAGACCAGAAGGAGAGCAGUGCCUUUGACAAAAAGGAGUCUUCAAAGGAAGGAUUUAGGGGCAAAAGAAAACCGAGUUCUGUUUUGGAAAUAUUUAGCAUGCUUGUUAGGCACUUCAGAUUGGUUGGGCUAGAAACAUAUAAUGCUAAAUGUUUCCAAAACAGAACUCAAGGGGGAGGCUAGGACUGGACACAUAAAUCUGGUUAGUCAAAUUAAAUGUAGAGAUGACAAACUUUGAGAAUUGAUGGGGUUAUCGAGAAUGAAAUAGCACAGGGAAAAGGGCCUAAAGCAAAAUCCUGAGGUACGUCCACUUGGAGAGUCUAACAUAGAUAAGCUAACAAGGAAGAAAUGUCCUAGGACAGGGAAACUAGGAUAAUCAUGAAAACUCAGAUUAAUUAGAAGUUGGUGAGAAAGCACAUCAGAUUUGGCAAUUAAAAAACCACUGGUAACUUUGGAGAGCAGUUUCAGUUGAUUGAUGAGGUUGAAAGUAAAUAGCAAAGGAGCAAAGUGGGAGCCGUUAAGUAUGGCUUGUUUUAGGAUUUUGAUAAAGGACAAAUAUUGAAUAGUAGUUUUAAGGGCUGAUAGGGAUGGAGACUUGGGUGUGUUUGAAGAUUGUGGUAGGAAAAUAGUUGAUAGGAAGCAUUCAAGUUUCAUUAAGGAGAUGAUUGAGGAUACAGUCUGUGGGAGGAAAAUAGUCAAUAGGAAGCAUUCAAGUUUCAUUAAGGAGAUGAUUGAGCAUACAGUCUGCUGGAUGAGGGGAUGGGAUCAAAGAAUCAACUUCAAGAACUAAGAGAAAUGAAGGGUGGGAGAUGUGAUGGGAUUUUGAGAUGAACAAAAC
ensembl:lncRNA